CGUCUCCACGCCCGCCCUCCCGCCCUCUCCAAUCCGCCGCACCAGCCUCAAUCCUCCACCACCGUUCCGCCACAGUACUUCAUCGUCUGUCAGACAGAUCCAACAACAACUUUGAAGUAGCUCCGAUAGUCUUGGUCUUGAUCUUGAUCUUCGUCUUCAUCAUCGGUGUAAUCGAAAUCGAAGUCGAGAACGGACCUGACGGCGUUAGAAGAAGACGGCGAGCGGAGGAGCGCGAGGACGGGGAAGUUUUUCGGAAGCGCGUGGACGGAGUUUCCGACGGAGGACACGUGGCGGCAGCGGGGACACGUCAGCGUGGUGUCGGUUGAGGCGGAGAACAUUCUGGAAAGACAGUCCCGGCAGAAGCCGUGGCCGCAUUGGAGAAGAAGUGGGACCCGCAGCUCCUCGUCGUAGCGGGUUUGGCAAACGGAACAGAACGGCUCUCUGGUUUUCAUUCUUUCGAACCAAAGUUGAACUUUGUUUUUGAAAUGGCGAAGAAAAACGGUGGGUGGUGGUGGAAAAUGGAGAAAGAGUUGACAGGAGAAAAAGAAACCAGUUACUUUGUUGUUUGCAUGAAAGAGCAGAUAAAAAAACAUUUGAUGCUAAACCAUUAAUAAUUUCUCUUAAAUAUUCCUUAUUUUAAUCUUAA